rnacentral:rRNA from 1 species
UACGGGGGGGGCAAGCGUUGUUCGGAAUUACUGGGCGUAAAGGGCGCGUAGGCGGUUCGCUAAGUUGGAUGUGAAAACUCUGGGCUCAACCCAGAGCCUGCAUCCAAAACUGGCGGGCUAGAGUUCUGGAGGGGAUAGCGGAAUUCCUGGUGUAGCGGUGAAAUGCGUAGAUAUCAGGAGGAACACCGGUGGCGAAGGCGGGUCUCUGGGCCGAUACUGACGCUGAGGAGCGAAAGCGUGGGGAGCGAACAGG